GAGAGACUAGAGGGAGGUGGAGCGACAAAGCCAUAAGGAAAGGAAAGAGAGCCAAGGAACACGAAGCAGCAACACACAUCGCGGCGGCGUAGCAAUUGAAGGAACACGACGGAAUGUAAUCCAGCCGGCGGGCUCGUUACCUGGGCGGCGUUGAUGGCGGCGUUGAGCAGCGUCGGGACGGCGCGGCGGCCGACGCGGACGUCCGCCUCCACGCAUCCGAAGGAAGCUGCGGUUGUCGUCGUGGGUGAGCGGCGGCGGCGGCUGCUGCGUCCUUCCGGCCGUCGCGGCCGCGUGCCAGUCCUCGUCUUCGCUGCCGGUGAGCUCCACGGUAGCCGGCGUCGUCGGCUGCCCCAUCGUCUCCUCCAUCAUCAGCGGCGCCGCGCGGACCGGUUGAUGAGCGCGCGUACAAACAAACUAGUUGCUAGCACUACGAUCGACCUGGUGCUAGCUGUCCUAAUGGAGGACGGUCGGCACGGCAUAUAUGUAUAUAUGUCACCGGUAGAAAAGAGCUCGGUGGGUUCAACUUUCUACAAGCUAUUUUUAUUGAAGCUUCUCUAUAGCAACCGUCAGUCAGUAGAAAUCAUUUUUACUGGUAAUUUUCUUUGUGAACCGCCAGUAAAAAUGUGUCAUAUAUUAGCG
rnacentral:misc_RNA from 1 species